rnacentral:rRNA from 1 species
GCUAACGCGUUAAGUCGACCGCCUGGGGAGUACGGCCGCAAGGUUAAAACUCAAAUGAAUUGACGGGGGCCCGCACAAGCGGUGGAGCAUGUGGUUUAAUUCGAUGCAACGCGAAGAACCUUACCUGGUCUUGACAUCCACGGAAGUUUUCAGAGAUGAGAAUGUGCCUUCGGGAACCGUGAGACAGGUGCUGCAUGGCUGUCGUCAGCUCGUGUUGUGAAAUGUUGGGUUAAGUCCCGCAACGAGCGCAACCCUUAUCCUUUGUUGCCAGCGGUCCGGCCGGGAACUCAAAGGAGACUGCCAGUGAUAAACUGGAGGAAGGUGGGGAUGACGUCAAGUCAUCAUGGCCCUUACGACCAGGGCUACACACGUGCUACAAUGGCGCAUACAAAGAGAAGCGACCUCGCGAGAGCAAGCGGACCUCAUAAAGUGCGUCGUAGUCCGGAUUGGAGUCUGCAACUCGACUCCAUGAAGUCGGAAUCGCUAGUAAUCGUGGAUCAGAAUGCCACGGUGAAUACGUUCCCGGGCCUUGUACACACCGCCCGUC